UAGCCUAUAGGUCAAUCGACAACUCUUUUUACAAAAGCUGACAGUUCACAAGUGCUUCAUCAGCAUUGACCAAACUAAGCUCACGGUUUGCCUUGCAUGCACAAUUGGUUAGUUUACACAAAAGAUGACAUUGGUUCUAGUGCAACUACGAAAUCAAGUGGUCGACUAAACCGUAGUUAUCACCAACUUCAUCAUCAAAGAGU
rnacentral:lncRNA from 1 species